AGGAAGAAUAUUAUGUAUAUUAAUGUAAGAAUGUGUAUUAAAAAAAAUAUUAUAAUUAGGAUUUGUAUUAAUUAUCUCUAUUAACUUUUGAACUUUUCCAAAAUUUUACAUACAUAUGUAUAAUCUAAAUAACUUGUAAUUCUUAAUCUAUAACGAUACAGUCUAAUAGGAUUAUAACAAUGAAUUGCAAAAUUGUUACCGCAACAAAAAAUAUAGAUGAAUAAAAUAAAUUAUCACGUCGAGUUUUUUAAUUUGAAUAAAUUUUUGUUUAAACAAUACAUAUACAUAUGAAAAAAUAUUACAAUUGUUUCGAAAUAAUUAAUUUUCUUUUAAAAGAUUAAACUUGAAACAUGAAGCUGAAUUACAAAAUACAAUUUCAAACCACAACGCCAACGAGUCAAAACAAAAAGUUGUCCACAAUGAUACUAACCUGUCAGUAAGUGUAUUUUAAUGAGACACGAUAUCAAAACUAGACUAACAACCUUCCAACAACAUUAACUUAUCAAUAUUGUUAUCAAUCUGGUUUAUUAUUAAAUAGAAAUUUGCAGACCAACAUAAUAUGCAAUACUUUAUUUAACAAUUCUUAAAAAAUGGUAAAUAAUUAUUAAAUACAGAAACAUACCUAGAAAA